GACGAACGCUGGCGGCGUGCUUAACACAUGCAAGUCGAGCGGUAAGGCCCCUUCGGGGGUACACGAGCGGCGAACGGGUGAGUAACACGUGGGUGACCUGCCCUCAGCUCUGGGAUAAGCCUGGGAAACUGGGUCUAAUACCGGAUAUGACUCCAUGACGCAUGUCGUGGGGUGGAAAGCCUUGUGCGGCUGGGGAUGGGCCCGCGGCCUAUCAGCUUGUUGGUGGGGUGAUGGCCUAUCAAGGCGACGACGGGUAGCCGGCCUGAGAGGGCGACCGGCCACACUGGGACUGAGACACGGCCCAGACUCCUACGGGAGGCAGCAGUGGGGAAUCUUGCGCAAUGGGCGAAAGCCUGACGCAGCGACGCCGCGUGAGGGAUGACGGCCU
rnacentral:rRNA from 1 species